CCUUUAUCAGAACCAGAAGUAGAAGCUAGGAUCUGAUGCGAGCCUGUGAAUUUUCUUCUCAAAUGAAGGAUCUUCUGCAACAACAAAGGCUUACAAGAAGAUGAAGGAAGAAGGGAAAAAAAUCCAGAUGAAGAAGAAAUUGGAAUUGCAGGCUGAUGGCGAUGAAGAAGAAGGUUGUUUCGAGAUAGAGACGUAUUUUUCAUUUGAUAUUUUUUUAGGUAUUAUAUAAUCUUUUUCCGUAGAAACAAAUAACUAAUCUUAAAAAAAGUAUAAAAAUAGGAGUAUUAAUUGUGCCGGGGUUUUAUGUUCAGAUCUUUUGGUUUUGAAUGAUUUUAUUGUUUGUGUUUGUACAUGAGAAUGACAGUGCAGAAAUUUCAGUGCUUCUUCCAUAUUAGUGCUUGA